rnacentral:ncRNA from 1 species
CCGGUGUCCAAGGGGAGCCAAACGGCUGAGAGGUCCGCACAAAGCGGACGACCCUGGGGCCUGCGUUUCGCGACACUGCUCGCCAUCGACGAGUUGCAGGCCCUCGUACCUGAUCCGGUUAGUACCGGCGUAGGAAUGGCCAUGAAACAUUUG